rnacentral:rRNA from 1 species
GACGAACGCUGGCGGCGUGCCUAACACAUGCAAGUCGAGCGGGGCGACCGGAGGCGGUAGAGAUACCGAGGAAGGGCGCCUAGCGGCGAACGGGUGAGUAACGCGUGGGCAAUCUGCCCCCGGGAGCGGGAUAACAGACCGAAAGGCCUGCUAAUACCGCAUGAAGCCGUCAUAUCACAUGGUAAGACGGUAAAAGGGGAAACCCGCCUGGGGAGGAGCCCGCGUCCCAUUAGCUAGUUGGUGGUGUAACGGACCACCAAGGCGAUGAUGGGUAGCCGGCCUGAGAGGGUGAACGGCCACAUUGGGACUGAGACACGGCCCAGACUCCUACGGGGGGCAGCAGUGAGGGAUUUUCGGCAAUGGGCGAAAGCCUGACCGAGCGACGCCGCGUGAGCGAAGAAGGCCUUCGGGUCGUAAAGCUCUGUCUAGGGGGAAGAGAAAGGACGGUACCUCUGGAGGAAGCCACGGCUAACUACGUG